GACGAACGCUGGCGGCGUGCUUAACACAUGCAAGUCGAGCGGUAAGGCCUUUCGGGGUACACGAGCGGCGAACGGGUGAGUAACACGUGAGUGAUCUGCCCUCAACUUCGGGAUAAGCUUCGGAAACGGGGUCUAAUACCGGAUAUGAUGUCCUGCUUCAUGGUGGGUGUUGAAAGUUUUGGCGGUUGGGGAUGGGCUCGCGGCCUAUCAGCUUGUUGGUGGGGUAAUGGCCUACCAAGGCGUCGACGGGUAGCCGGCCUGAGAGGGCGACCGGCCACCACUGGGACUGAGACACGGCCCAGACUCCUACGGGAGGCAGCAGUGGGGAAUAUUGCGCAAUGGACGGAAGUCUGACGCAGCAACGCCGCGUGAGGGAUGAC
rnacentral:rRNA from 1 species